GGCCCAUUUCAUAGACCCGCUGGGUCCUUCUUUAGCGUUCCGGGCUACCUCUUCCACCACGAACUGACCGGUAAAACCAGAUGCUCCGAAUACGAUUAUGUGAAAUUACAGGUGCUGCUGCGCCUUUUUGACCCGGGUUGAAAUCUUGAGGGUCCAGGAGAGGUCCUCAGAGAUGUGGACAUGAGGAAUUUGAAGCUGGACACACGCUCCAGCUCAGUGCCAUCGAUGAGAACUGGGGCCAACCACCGUGGUGUUGUCUGAGAACUUGACAAUGGUGUUGGAGCUGUGUACAGGAACGCAGUCGUGGGUGAAGAGGAAGUACAGGAGGGGGCUCAGCACACAGCCUUGUGGAAGUGUCUGGUUGGUGUCUGUUGGUUAGGAAGUCCAAAGUCCAAUUGCAGAGAGAGGGGCCUAUCCCCAGGCCAGGGAGUUUGUUGACCAACCUAGUGUGGAUGACCAUGUUGAAUGCUGAGCUUAAGUCUAUGAACAACAUUCUCACAUAGAUGUUGGUUUUGUUCAAUGUUUUCAAAUGUUCAAUUUGAAAACAUUGCUUAUUUCUUCAUAAACAAACAUGAUGUUUAUUUCUUCUUAAACAACAG